CUCUGUUUCACAUGUGAUAAUGUGUAUUUUUCAGCGAUACUCUUGGACUCGUCCCUCCCUCUCCUCCCCUGCCUGUUCCCUCUGUCUGCGUCUCCACGGCUGCUCUGCAAAGAGGUUCUUCAGUACCAUCUUUGUAGAGUCCACACACACGCCUCAACAUACAUAUGUUUUUUCUCUUCCUGACCUACUUCACUCUGUAUCAUAGGCGCCAGGCUCUUCCACUUUAUUCCCUUUCUAGCUCAUCCUGCCUUCCUGGUUCAGACCAUGCUCCGUGAGCUGCAGGAGUUCCGAUCUUCCCCGCGCGUCUGGGUCGGUGGCUCCCGGCUCUGCAGGGUAGAAGAGGCAGCCAGCGUCGCCGAAAUAGCUCAGUUGGGAGAGCGUUAGACUGAAGAUCUAAAGGUCCCUGGUUCAAUCCCGGGUUUCGGCAGGACUUUUGCUGAGUGGAUCUGGAGUUCUUUCCUUUCCUUCGUGUCUUCCCAAAGGCAAGCCACCACACACGGUGAAGAUGCCAAGAGCUUAAGCCUUUAAAGAAACCUGGACCCGGUCACACAGUCACUCCACUUAAACACUGUUGGAUGUUGGGGCGCAGCAUGUGGCCUGACUCUCAUUUAUAAUGCGGUCCGCUCAGGUCUACAGGUGGAAGGUCUUGGGUUUGAUGCCAAAUAUAAUCACGUUGGGCUUGCAAGUUUUUCUUAUCGGAGACAGACAUGAAGACAGUGUUCAAAACGUUGGUCUCUACAGCAGGACUGGCAAAUCAGGGUCCCACCAGUGUUAGAAGAAUGGUUGGCAUGGUUCCUGGCUGGAGAGGUGAUUUAUAAGCACGUGUCACGACCUAAAAUAUUUCUUGCAACCUCAGUUUUCUCACCUCUCUUCUCAUAAACAGCGCGUGAACUGUUGUUGCUCAGAGCGACUGUUUGCAAAUUUCCUGUCAGGAGCAUUACCAUCGUUACUCUAACGACAGGGAUGCAACUGUCUUGGUUAUGUGUUUACUGAUGUUUUGAAUAUAAACUAAUACUACAUACUAGUUGUAAGGUAAAAAUAUCCAAAGACCAAUAUCUAUCAUACAAAGGCUGUAAAAGACUGAGGUUGGGACAGAAAGUUACCGGGCACUUUCCUCCCCUUUCACUUUUUCUGCAAAACCCACACCAGUCUGGCCUGCCUGCUGGGUUGUAAACUCCGGACUGAAUCAAGUGUGUUUUGUACAACGUCACCUCAGAGAGUGGUGUGGACACAUUCAAUUUGUUUCAGGAGUUUAAAAUGACCACCGCCCGAGCAGGGACUUGAACCCUGGACCCUCAGAUUAAAAGUCUGAUGCUCUACCGACUGAGCUAUCCAGGCUCUCGAAAGUACCUUAUCUCCUAGUCUAUCCACAGAAAAUAGACUGUGCUGCCGUUCCUAUUGGAUUAAAAUUCUGAGUCUUUUUGUAGAUUUAGUGAGUGGUGAAACUGCAAAAUCAGGUUGGAGCAGGCGCUUGGUGGAAGUCUUUUCUGAUCCCAUCACAGACAGACUGUGAAGAAAACAAACCUAUCCAGGACCAAGACACGGUGGGCGUCCUCAGGGAGGCGGGAAGACGCACGAAAUAGACGUCAAGCGCUUGAGUGGUGGGAAGCCGGUCAACACCGGAAGUUAAGGGUCCUAACUAGUCUUCCAGCUGGUGAUGGUUCCCAGCUGAGCUGCCAGUGGUGACUGGGAGCCUGAAGGCUCAGGAGGAGGAUUCUGAGCGGAGGGAAGGGCAGAAGGGAAAAGACCUCCGCUAGUGAGUCUGAGCGUUUUCCCUGAAGCUCUCAUUGACAAGUUUCCAUCAGGCUGAAUUUUAUAUUUUUAAGAAGUCCUAUUACCCUGGAGGCAACCCAUGUUGCCUGCCAUUCUAUCAAACACUGAAUGUUGCAGCCAUCAAGCCAUCAGUCGCUGCAGCUUCCCUGUUGGUGUACUCUAAGGGGAAUUCAGAAUGGAUAAAAAACAGGAUAUUGGCCCUAGAUAGUUAAGAUGCAUGUCAAAGGAAUAAUUUCAGUGAGCUGCGAUCCUUGCAUCAUCCCAUACUUAGAAAAGCACUAAAAUAAUUAAUGUGAGACGUAUGUUUUUCUAUGUUUAGCAGUAAUCUUUUGAUGUUCAAUUACGUUUUUUUUUUCCCCUCCAGAAAAAAGUUCCUAUAUAUCUUGGGUCCUGCCUUACUUUCUUUAGAACAGUUCCUCAGAGCUACCUGCGAGUCUGCUUCACUGGCUAGUCUUCGAGUUUGCUCAAAUUCACGCCCACUGAGUGGUGGUGCUAGAUGACCAUCUCAUCCUCUGCCGCCCUCUUCCUGGGCCAGGAGAACUGGUAACAGUGGGAACAGAGCAGCCACAGAAGGCACGGCGUCUUCAGUUCCUCCCUGAAGGACACAGAUAGAUCUGAUGCACAUUCCUGAGGUGGUCUGCAGACGCUACAACCACCACCAGAGGGAAAAAGCUAGCUGUGCAGUGAGCAGACUGUAGCCCUGACACAAAUGACUCCAUCUGGAGCAGUACCAAAUCUGUGGCUUGCAUACUUCCAGAAAUUCGCCCCAAGAAAGUGGAACCAAACUGACCCUGGAGUUGAAGAUUAACUGUGAUUAAAACAAGACCAGUCCAGCCAGACCACAGCGUUACUCACUUCAAGAUGACCGGCAGGGCUGGCUGUGCUGCUCUGCCCACAAGCCCCACCCCUUCACCCUGGACACUUCCUGGUUUUUCCCUGUGAAAUCUUUUUCUCUCCAACUGAAAGCUUGGAGACGGUUUAGGGUAUACCUGCCUUCUAUCUUCCUAGGUUGCUGGCCUCCUGAAUAAAGCUUCUUUCUUUUCCCACCAGUUCUUGUGUCUCUUGAACAUUGACUUUUGAGUGAGAGCAGCUGAACCUGAGUUCAUUUCCAGCCCCUCUGGUAACCUCAGGAACUAUGAACAAAGUUUAAAAAGUAAUCCAGUAUGGAAAGAUAUGCAAGUUACAUUGAACAAAAAUGACAGAAGUUGCCAAACAAUAUGUAUGACAGAAUAUGUGUG
ensembl:lncRNA